rnacentral:rRNA from 1 species
CAAUAGUGUAUAUUAACGUUGUUGCAGUUAAAAAGCUCGUAGUUGAAUUUCUGGUGGGAAGCCUUGGCUACGGUCAUGCGCAUCCACACCAUCCACGCCGGAAGCUACUACAGCACUGCUUAGUAGUGGAAGCGUGUUUUACUUUGAAGAAAUUAGAGUGUUCCAGGCAGGCUUUGCUUGAAUACAUCAGCAUGGAAUAAUGGAAUAGGACAGGUCAAUUUUAUUGGUUAUUUGACUUGUAAUGAUUAACAGGGACAGUUGGGGCGUUUGUAUUCAAUAGUCAGAGGUGAAAUUCUUGGAUUUGUUGAAGACAAACUAAAGCGAAAGCAUUCGCCAAGGAUGUUUUCAUUAA